GCAAGCAAGGGAUUGCCAGAGCCUCAUCAAAGGCCCGCGGAGGACCCUAGACGGCACGGCACGGGACGGACGGAGCGGCGGGACGGAGCGGCAGGGAGCCUUCUCCCCCAGGCGGGGCUGCAGGGACGUCCCGCUGCAGGCGAGAGGGCUGUUCCCUGAGAAAGGACACCGGCCGCCAGCCCGUCCGGGAGGGCGGCGUCAGAAUCCCCAUCCCACAAUAUAGCUCUCUCUGCAGAUAUUUUAAGUAUUAAAGUGCAUUUAACUAAAUUACAGGAAAUUACAGAUUGGCUAAUUGAAUUUAAUUUUCAGUGCUCAAAGGCUUUACUUCAAAAGGAGGUAUAAAUUCCUACUCUGUAAGUUUUCCCACAAGUCUUGUUUUUCAAGGUUAUAAGUAGUAGAUGAAAACGUGAAGAGCAAGGACAUUAUACUAAACAAAGGAAGCUGUGUUUCCUGAAAUGAGUGACUUGCAUAUUGCUAAGCAGAUGCAGAUGUACUAAUUUUCAUAAAAAAGGCUCUGGGCAUAGACAGGAGGAAUUAUUUAAUAUAACUUUUCCCCAUGGCGUUUGUCUCAUGAAUCACAUCUGAGCUGGCGCUGUUAACUGUUUGCUUUUUCUGCCGCUUCAUUUUUAGUCAUUUUCCUAGACUCCUGGAACUUGGCGUCCCGCUAACCUUGCUUGGGCAAAUGCUGUGUGCUCGGCCAGGCACUCCCGCAGGGCUUUUCCAGGGGCUGCCUGUCCCCUUCCCGGCCAUCAGUGAGCUUACUUACCAAUGGAAUAACCCCAGGUUCGCAAGGGGACUGCGCUCAGUCCCCACUGCAUUGAGACACUUUAGACUUCGUUAUUUUUCAAUGAUAAACAAUAAAUAUUGAGAGCUUUUAAUGGUGAGAGAAAAUACUUCUAAAGGAGCAAAGAUGAAUUCAACCUUUUAUAAACAAACAGAACACUAUUAUAUAAAAAAUACACAUGAAAAAUACAUCCUCUUAACUAAAUCAUCAAAGCUGACAUCAUCAAUAUUGAGCCAAAGUAGUGUCACAUACCUCCAGUAUGACGCGCUGGGAAGGACAGUUUUUAUUGUUUACUGCCAGAAAUGUAUAACCUGAGACUGAUCGUGAGAAAGCAACACACAAAUUAAAAUUGAGAGAAAUUCUACACAAUCACUGUCAUGUACUCUCAAUAAACAUCAGCGUCAAAAAAGAUAAAGAGAGCCUGAGGAACUGCUCGGGAUUAAAAGAAACCCAAGAGAUGUGACAACUAAAUGUAACGGGUGAUCCUGGAUUAAAUUCUAGUGGGGGAAAAAAACAGCUAUGAAGAACAUUAUUGAGACAAUUGAUAAAAUUUAGACUAUUAAAUUAGGUACUUGUGUUCUCUCAUUGUCAAAGUUUCUGAUUUGAUCAUUGUACUGUGGACAUGUAAGAAAAUAUAGUUCUCAGGAAAUAUGCACUUAGCUAGUUAGGGUUAAACAGGUACAGUAUCUCCAACUUACUCUCAAAUGAUUCAAAAAAAUAUUUAGAGUUAUGCUGGAUACAUUUGUCCUAUUCUUACAUCUUUUAUAUUAAAGUCAUAUAAAAAGUUUAAAAUGCAUAGAUAAAAUGAAGGAAUUAAAUGCUGUAUUUAAUCAAAUCGAAGAUGCAAGUGAUUGCAAAAUGGAUCAUAUUUUACAUUUCAUAAUGAAAGAAAAAAUACAGUCAAUAAAACUAUGACACAGUACUUUCCUGUCACUUGGGAUUUUUCUUUUAUACUUUUAGAGAAUUCUUUUAGAUUUAUUAAUGUAUAGAUUUUUAUUAUAUAUCACUCUUCUGCACACAUAAAAGCAAACAGGUGAGGGAAAGAAGUUAAACUAUUCUUCCAACUUCUUCACAUUAUGAUUUCAACACUUCCGAAUCCCUUUUUGAUUCAUAGCUGUCUAUGUCUGUGCUUUUCUAUGCAAUAUCAUUCUCCCAGCCAUCAAGAACAUAGGUGAUACAACUUUUCAAAGGGUUCUCCAUGAUUAUGUCCUGUCUUUUCUUCCAAGCCACUGAAGCCCAUUCCACAAGCUUUAAUGCUUGACUGCUCCAGAAGGGGAGGGGGGAGGAGGGACUUUAGCCAGCAGUGAGGAUUCUAGUUCCCUGAAAUGGUUGGUGGACUGAUCACUAAGAGUCAGAAUCACCUAAUUACGCCAACAGAAACAACUCCAAGUGUGCACAGGCUCAGGAGUGACAGCAGCCACACAACUGCCACCGUCCUGGCAGAAAGAGAUAAGACACCACUGAACAUAAGUUGCAUCCAGAUUUCAGAGAUGGUAAAAUGUGAAAAGGGUGCAUCUUGGAACUGGAAUGUGGUAUUUUAAAAUAUUAAUAGUGUUGGGCUUGUGGAAGGGAAUUUACACUGCUUCUGUAUAUUCUAAUUUUGUGCCAAUAAGCACAUAUUAAUUUGUUGGUGUUAUUUUUAUAAUAAAAAUGGAUAUAUCUUGAUACACAAGACAUAGUUACUUUAUCUCAAUUUCAUGCCUGAUUUUUAUCUAAGCAUCCCCUAUGUUUUCCAGGGCACAAGAUUAUCCACCUAUUACUUGAGAUCUAAGAAGCUUCUCUGCUGCAAAAUCUAUUAAUCAACCUAAUAAACAUUAAUCGAAAGCCUGUGAGAUAUAAGAAAAAGCCCAUGGUAUUGUCUGGAUGCCAUCAAGGAUCUUACAAUCUGGAAAUGGUUAUGAACAAGUGCCUGCACCUCCCCUCGACCUAGCUUCCUCAUUCGACACGUGAUCCCGGCCUACGCCAGCUCGCCUUCCCCUUCAUCCCUGAGUGGACCAGCCGGGGCUGUCACCAGGUAGCAGUUACAGCUGGCAGAUGCUGAACUCAAUAAACCCUGUUUCUUUACAGAUUACCCAGCCUCAGUAUAGCAAAAUUACGUUGAAAGAAGUGAUGUUUUUUGAGGAGCUGCUGCACACUGUUUUGCUUAAAAUCGAAGUUUCCAAGAGCGUAUGGAGGAUGUCAAAUAUUUUAAAAUAAUGGAUAAACAAUGAAGUUUAAGAAGAAAUAAUAUGCUUCAGGUACAUUAACCUAUUGGCAGAAACAAAGGAAACUGAAGAAGAGAGAGAAACUGGAAAAGGAGAGAAACCACUAAGGAACUUCCAAGAGAGAAGCAACAAGUAUUAGUUAUUGAACAAGGGUGAGGGAAAUGAGAUGAAACCUACUCCAAGAUUUUCAGUUUGGGAGACCACUUGGAUUGCAGUUGCAACACAAAGAUGCGAGCUGAACCCCACCCACCACAGUGAUAGGAAGGAAACCAAACAGGGGGGGAAGGCAGAGUCAGGACUCAGGACGUGGCAGCUGGUGGAGUAUUGCUAAGGAUAUGCUGUCCAGCAGGCUGCCAGAAAUCCAGGCCUGGGCCCCAAGAGAAAAUUCAGAGACAGAGCUGUGACUAACGCACCUGGAAAUGCUGUUUGAAGCAACAAGAUUGCCAAUAUGGAGAGGAUAUAAUAAAAUGAGAAUAUCAGUAUCAGCCAAUGUGUUUGAGCCUGACCAUGUACUGGACAGCAUGUUAAGUGCUUUUCAGACAUUAACUCAGUGAAGUCUCAACUGUAUGAAGGAGCUUCCAUUAUGGCUCCCAUUUUAAAUAGGAGGAGCUGAGACACAGAGAACUUAAGUUAGGCCCACAAGGCCGCACAGCCGGAAAGUUGUAGAGCCUACACAAAAGCCCACAUAAUCAAACCCCAAUCCUGCUAUUCUAGGCUGCCUCUGUCAAGAGCAAAGGGACCCUUAUGGAAUGAUGUAUUUGGGGGAUAGAGGAACUCAGAGAAAGAGACGGAAAAGGAGCAGUCAGAGAGGUCCACUGUGACACAACUGUGCUUAUGCACAAGGGUUAUAAAUAUGCACCCUGCCAGAUGGUCCUUAAGAAGAGUAUGGGAAUGGACACCACUGAUUCAUUUUAUGGAUUCUAUUUAAACCAUUCUCAGCCACCAAUUCAUCUAUAUUCUCCAUUUUUACAAUGUCUGGAUGAGUGGGAUUACUUGAAAAAAAAUAAACAGCAUCGUUUUCAAAGCUGUGGUUUCAUAGACGGUAGUUGCAAGUGAUUUCAAAGUUAAAAAUAGAACUCUAGAACACUGGUUCUCAAAGCGGGGUACCUGGACCACAGCAUCAGCAUCCUCUGAACGCUUGUUGAAAUUCACAUUCCCACACCCCUCCUCCACCCUGCUGCACUGGAAACCCUGCGGGUGGGGCUCACAAUCUGCAUUGUAACAGACUCUCCAGCUAACGUAUGUAUGCUCAAGUUUGAGAACCACUACUGUAGAAAAUGCAAUGAUCUAAAUAUGUGUAGCAAAUCCUUAGGGGACCCUGCUCAGAAUGUCCAUUGAUGACGGUCCCUUCCCACUCGCCGUGCCCACCCCCGUCGGUGCUCCCUUGGUAUCCUCCCAGAGUCUCAGGGUCUGUCUGGGGAUGCUGAUUAGGACACGUGGUACUUCAAUCUGAUCAAGGAAUUGGCUUGUGGGUCCCUUCCUUGCACCCCGCCUGUACUGGGCAUUCCCACAGUGACGUCUGUUUAACCUCACAAACUCAAAUUAAUCUAGUAGCAUGCAACCCCACUGAGUUCUGAGGAGCCUUGG